CGAGGGAAAGUUGAAAAGGACUUUGAAGAGAGAGUUCAAGAGUACGUGAAACUGCUCAGAGGUAAACGGGUGGACCCACGAGGUGACAUUGCCGGAGAGGCUCAGUCGGAACGAACGCGGGAGUGUGCUGCGACUCCGAAGAGAGCGCGAAAGACUCGCCCGGCGUUCGUACGACGCAUUUCUCUCUGCAACGUGGAUGCCGCAACCGGUUGGAAAGCAGUCGGCCUAGAGGUCGUUCGAAGGUAGGUGGCGGAGGGUUUCGCUUCCCGCGUUGUUCCUCCGUUUUGGCCUGUUCGACCGGGCGCGACGUCCGACCGAGGUUCUCUUUCCACCCCUCUYGCCUAGCGAGUGGGACGCUUUUCGGGUGCUUUGCGUGGCAGACGUCGUCUCACUGAUUCCAGUGACCGAUUCUUCGGUGGCACCGCAGAGCGUUCUAAGCGGAGGGUUCCGGAAGGUUGGCGGCAAUACUGUCGGUAACCCACCCGACCCGUCUUGAAACACGGACCAAGGAGUCUAACAUGUGCGCGAGUCGGCGGGUCUCGAGUAAUCCCGCAGGCGCAAUGAAAGUGAGAGUCGAGAUCCCGACCGGCUAACGCCGAGGGCGCAUCGACCACCCGCUCGUUCCGGAGUCCCGGUAGAGCGGAGCAAGAGCGUACACGUUGGGACCCGAAAGAUGGUGAACUAUGCCCGGGCAGGACGAAGCCAGGGGAAACCCUGGUGGAGGUUCGCAGCGGUUCUGACGUGCAAUCGAUCGUCGGACC
rnacentral:rRNA from 1 species